rnacentral:rRNA from 1 species
GAUGAACGCUGGCGGCGUGCCUAAUACAUGCAAGUAGAACGCUGAAGCUUGGUGCUUGCACCGAGCGGAUGAGUUGCGAACGGGUGAGUAACGCGUAGGUAACCUGCCUCUUAGCGGGGGAUAACUAUUGGAAACGAUAGCUAAUACCGCAUAAAAGUCGAUAUCGCAUGAUAUUGAUUUGAAAGGUGCAAAUGCAUCACUAAGAGAUGGACCUGCGUUGUAUUAGCUAGUUGGUGAGGUAACGGCUCACCAAGGCGACGAUACAUAGCCGACCUGAGAGGGUGAUGGGCACCAGUGGAACUGAGACCCGCCCCAGACUCCCAGGGGAGGCGGAGGAGGGGAUUCUUGGGCAGUGGGGGCAACCCGAACGGAGAACCGCCGGGUGAGGAAAGAGGUUUUGGGUAUCGUAAGGCUUUUUUGAAGGAAAAGAGGGGGUGGGAGAGUGAAAAUUCCACCCUGGGAGGUAAACUACCCAGAAGGGGCGGCCAAACUCCGUC